rnacentral:rRNA from 1 species
AAACCAGCACCUCAAGUGGUCAGGAUGAUUAUUGGGCCUAAAGCAUCCGUAGCCUGCUCUGUAAGUUUUCGGUUAAAUCUGUACGCUCAACGUACAGGCUGCCGGGAAUACUGCAAAGCUAGGGAGUGGGAGAGGUAGACGGUACUCGGGAGGAAGUGGUAAAAUGCUUUGAUCUCUCGAUGACCACCUGUGGCGAAGGCGGUCUACCAGAACACGUCCGACGGUGAGGGAUGAAAGCUGGGGGAGCAAACCGGAUUAGAUACCCGAGUAGUCC